CCUACAGCAGACUGGAACCAGCAGAUUAGGAAGGCCCAAGGGACUGCUUCGGGAAGGCCAUUGACAGCAGGAAAAAGUGACAGGUCGCAGCCAGACUACAAGGGAGGCAAGAGACAAACUAUAAAAAGCAGGAACAAAAACACUCAAAAGACACAGCAGUCUGGGGGAUUUACUAAAAGACAAAGAGCCCUACUCAGGUUCUAACAUUCCCAUGGACCAGCCCUGCUGUCGUGGUCUCUAUGACUUUGAGCCAGAAAACCGAGGAGAAUUAGGAUUUAAAGAAGGGGACAUCAUUACAUUAACCAAUCAAAUAGAUGAAAACUGGUAUGAAGGAAUGAUACACGGAGAAUCGGGAUUCUUCCCCAUUAAUUAUGUUGAAGUGAUCGUGCCUUUACCUCAGUAAAUGUGUAACACAAACUCUGGACAUACUUUCAUAACUGAAAUGAAUUCACACCAGUGUGCUCUCAGUGUGGUGUUCUGUGACAUCCUUUGCUCUCUGACCAACUUAAUGACUUUUGUAUGUGUGUUCUCUUUAUAAUGUAUUUUAUAUCACUUUAAUUUGUAUAAAUGAUUUUCUUGUCCUUGCUACAUGAAAAUAUUGUUUUCUUUUUUGCUUCCUGUCCUAAAAGUCAUUGGUUAAAUGUAUUUGCUUCCUGUUGCUAAAAAUAAGUCUCACCCAUUGCAGUUAUGUCAACGAAUGGCCUAUAUUCCUCAGCUGCAAUGAAAUGGUAACAUUUGAAACUAAGAAAUGCUAAAUAUUU
rnacentral:sRNA from 1 species